GGAUUAGAUACCCUGGUAGUCCACGCCGUAAACGAUGUCAACUAGCCGUUGGGAGCCUUGAGCUCUUAGUGGCGCAGCUAACGCAUUAAGUUGACCGCCUGGGGAGUACGGCCGCAAGGUUAAAACUCAAAUGAAUUGACGGGGGCCCGCACAAGCGGUGGAGCAUGUGGUUUAAUUCGAAGCAACGCGAAGAACCUUACCUGGCCUUGACAUCCUGCGAACUUUCUAGAGAUAGGUUGGUGCCUUCGGGAACAUUGAGACAGGUGCUGCAUGGCCGUCGUCAGCUCGUGCCG
rnacentral:rRNA from 1 species